GGCACAAGGAGAGCUGUAAAUUCUGCUCACUGAGCCAGCUAAGUGUGGAAGACAACUACUGUAGUUUGUUUUUUUGUCCACUACCAUUCCAUCUGCCAAGCCUCCUUGGAACUCCCUGUGGCUUGGCUUGACUGAUGAUCCUGCUUCUGCCUGCUCCCUGCUGAUAGAUGCUGUGGACACUCAUGAUUUACAAAGAGACAAACAGCCCUGUCUGCUUCUAAGAGAAACAAGCAAAAGAAGCGAAAACAGUCGGUGAACAGAGAGCUCGUCAUGAGAUGAAACCUCAGUGGCGGCAAAAAGGAACUGAGGCAGUUACAUGUACUGGGGGGGGGGUAGUCCUG